GACGAACGCUGGCGGCGUGCUUAACACAUGCAAGUCGAACGGAAAGGCCCUGCUCUUGUGGGGUGCUCGAGUGGCGAACGGGUGAGUAACACGUGAGUAACCUGCCCUUGACUUUGGGAUAACUUCAGGAAACUGGGGCUAAUACCGGAUAGGAGCUCCUGCUGCAUGGUGGGGGUUGGAAAGUUUCGGCGGUUGGGGAUGGACUCGCGGCUUAUCAGCUUGUUGGUGGGGUAGUGGCUUACCAAGGCUUUGACGGGUAGCCGGCCUGAGAGGCUGACCGGCCACAUUGGGACUGAGAUACGGCCCAGACUCCUACGGGAGGCAGCAGUGGGGAAUAUUGCACAAUGGGCGGGAGCCUGAUGCGGCAACGCCGCGUGCGGGAUGACGGCCUUCGGGUUGUAAACCGCUUUCGCCUGUGACGAAGCGUGAGUGACGGUAAUGAGUAAAGAAGCACCGGCUAACUACGUG
rnacentral:rRNA from 1 species